CCCACCCGGUAGUUGUAGCAAAUAAAAAGCGUUAAAAUUGUCUAAUUUUGAAUGAAUUUCAUUGCGGUAAUACAAUGCAAAUUCAUUCAAAAUUAGACAAUUUUAACGCUUUUUAUUGCUGCCGAGCCUC
rnacentral:miRNA from 1 species